GACGAAGGAUGCAAGCGUUAUCCGGAUUCAUUGGGUUUAAAGGGUGCGCAGGCGGCUUUGUAAGUCAGUGGUGAAAUCUCUGAGCUUAACUCAGAAACUGCCAUUGAUACUGCAGAGCUUGAGUACAGAUGAUGUUGGCGGAAUAUGACAUGUAGCGGUGAAAUGCUUAGAUAUGUCAUAGAACACCGAUUGCGAAGGCAGCUGACAAAACUGUAACUGACGCUCAUGCACGAAAGUGUGGGGAUCAAACAGG
rnacentral:rRNA from 1 species